rnacentral:rRNA from 1 species
ACCAGACUCCUACGGGAGGCAGCAGUGGGGAAUAUUGCACAAUGGGGGAAACCCUGAUGCAGCGACGCCGCGUGAGCGAUGAAGUAUUUCGGUAUGUAAAGCUCUAUCAGCAGGGAAGAAAAUGACGGUACCUGACUAAGAAGCCCCGGCUAACUACGUGCCAGCAGCCGCGGUAAUACGUAGGGGGCAAGCGUUAUCCGGAUUUACUGGGUGUAAAGGGGGCGCAGACGGCAGCGCAAGCCAGGAGUGAAAGCCCGGGGCCCAACCCCGGGACUGCUUUGGAAACUGUAUAGCUGGAGUGCAGGAGAGGUAAGUGGAAUUCCUAGUGUAGCGGUGAAAUGCGUAGAUAUUAGGAGGAACACCAGUGGCGAAGGCGGCUUACUGGACUGUAACUGACGUUGAGGCUCGAAAGCGUGGGGAGCAAACAGGAUUAGAUACCCGGGUACC